rnacentral:rRNA from 1 species
ACCCCACUGCUAUCGGGAUAGGACUAAGACAUGCUAGUCGAGUGGCUCAGCCAAAACGAGUCACGGCGUACAGCUCAGUAACACGUGGCUAACCUGCCCUUGGGACGAGAACAACCCCGGGAAACUGGGGCUAACUCUCGAUAGGCGAAGAACUCUGGAAUGAGUCUUCACCAAAACAGUUUAAAGUUAUGCUCUUUAGACUGCCCAAGGAUGGGGCCGCGACCGAUCAGGUUGUUGGUGAGGUAAUGGCUCACCAAGCCUUUUACCGGUGCGGGCCGUGGGAGCGGGAGCCCGGAGAUGGGCACUGAGACAAGGGCCCAGGCCCUACGGGGCGCAGCAGUCGCGAAAACUUUGCAAUAAGCGAAAGCUUGACAGGGCUAUCCCGAGUGCCAUCCGCUGAGGAAGGCUUUUACCCAGUCUAGAACGCUGGGGGAAUAAGGAGAGGGCAAGUCUGGUGUCAGCCGCCGCGGUAAUACCAGCUCUCCGAGUGGUGUGGAUGUUUAUUGGGCCUAAAGCAUCCGUAGCUGGCUAGGUUAGUCCCCUGUUAAAUCCACCGAAUUAAUCGUUGGAUUGCGGGGGAUACUGCUUGGCUAGGGGACGAGAGAGGCAGACGGUAUUUCCGGGGUAGGGGUGAAAUCCUAUAAUCCCGGGAAGACCACCAGUGGCGAAGGCUGUCUGCUAGAACGCGCCCGACGGUGAGGGAUGAAAGCUGGGGGGGCGAACCGGAUUAGAUACCCGGGUAGUCCCAGCUGUAAACGAUGCAGGCUAGGUGUUUGGACGGCCACGUGCCGUUCUAGUGCCGCAGGGAAGCUGUUAAGCCUGCMGCCUGGGGAGUACGGUCGCAAGGAUGAAACUUAAAGGAAU